GGUGCAUUUGAUUGUUGUAACAUGUGUUUCUAUUGUGUUCCAUGCUUUACUUUUUGUACUUUUUGGUGUUGUAAAUUCAUCCCCACAAAAUCGCAGGAGAGAGAGGAAGACAAAAACGAUGGAACCCUAACUAUCUCCCACCGUCCCCUUCUCCGUCUUCCCGUCGCUCCUACAUCCGCUCCGGCGCCUCCUUCACUCUCCUCAACAACACCUCCACCUGGCCAUCGAUCAGUUUCCGAAUAUCUCACCGACAAAAGUGCCGAUUGACGAUCAAAUCGGUGCUAGAUUCAGCUUCAAUCGAUCAGUAUUUCGGACUCACGGAAUCAGAUGCACGUAAUCCGACUUUAUCGACUUCGUUUAGGGUUCCGAUGCAUCGGAAACCUAAUCAGACGGUGUUAAAAGCUCAGCCUAGGGUUUGUACUGGACCGACUCAUACUAAACCACUCACUGAAGAAGAAGCGUUUAAAGUUUUGGAUACUAUACUUAGAUCUUGUAUAAUAUUUUUGGAUGUUUUGGUUUGUAUGAUGAGUUUUUAUAGCUUGCAAAGUUUCGAUGAUGUGUGUGUUGUAGUUGCUGCAGUUAGUUAGUUUAGUUAAGCUCAGGUGUAGCAGUAGUUUCUGGUUUUCGAUUCGGACACAAAUGAUUUUUUGUAUUGGAGUGGUCUAGCUUUUGACUUUAGAUUGAUCAUAGUUGUUUAGGUCUUAUGAUGCAUGUGAUUAUAAGAUAAUUUGAUGCAGUUAGUCAGUGACGUGUAGCAAUCAAAUGGCUAGAUACUCAAAGAUUAACCAAACACUUCAAGAAACCUCAAAGGUUCUUGAUAGAACUCAAAAGUUCACAAUUAUUAGUAAUCAAACUAGAAACUGAUCAUAAACAUUCACCAAGAUUGUUAUUUAUACUAGACCCUUACAAGUUUCGACAUAGUAGAACUUUUAUCUUCAUUGAUGUUGACCGACAGGUUUAGGAGUUUCAUUACAAACCUGUUGGAACUUGGAAUGGUCACUACUUUGUGUUGACUGUUGAAUAGACGGUGUACGCGGCGACGUCGCCUUAGCCUGGACGACAGUGGUUUGACGGUGGUGUUCUCCUUUCUCUUAUUUGUCUUCUAAAUUCCUCAUUGUCAAUUCUUUACUCAAGUUUCUAAGGUAACCCAAGAACAGUUUGCGACUCUCUUUGUUAACUAUGGGCAUGUAAACAUUUUUCGGUACAGUUUGCAACUCUCUUUGUUAACCAUCCUCCGAUCAUGUCGAUUGGCCACAGUGCUUAUGGGAUCGUGUGGUAUGUGUAUAUUUUUGUGACUGAUCAGUUUCGCUGAACUCUGAGACGAAUGAGAUGGUUGCUUUGAAGAAGAUUGCGUAUGCUUUUGAUAAUUGUGUGGAUGCGAAGCGAACACUUCAUGAGAUUAAGCUUCUUCGACAUUUGCAUCAUGAGAAUCUUUUGAAUGCUUAAUUGAUGUAUAAGAAGUAACAAUGGAGCGGGUUGUCUUUAGUUGAGUGGACUUUGGUUGCCAACUGGAGGAGAAAAGAAAACUUAGACGGUAAGUAAUUAUAUUCAAGAUUUGAGAAUUGGCAGUGGUAAUUUCAAGUUACAUUUGCAGAUGCAAGGAACAAUAAUGGAACCUCAACAACUUGUACAUCAUAUUUUUUUGUAGAAUUGUUGCCCACUUUGUUGACUAUGCACUCCAAUGAGGUUGCAAAAACAGUGCUAGAGCCAGCUAGAACAAAAGUUCCAAAAAAUGGAACGCUCCUUAUGCUAUAAAUGUAGUUUUUGUUUUUGUAUGUAAAUGUAGAUUUGGCUUUUUUUUGUCUUGCAACUCUUAUUUUGCAAUAAGAGAAUACGUUGAGACAUUAAUUGGUGUUUAUCAAUUAGGAAUACAAGCAUAAGACAUCAAUAAAUUGUUAUUAAUUUAGGAA